rnacentral:rRNA from 1 species
UUACCCAACAGCUAGCCCCUUAUUUAAAUUCAACAACUCAACAUUAAUACCCCCUAAUACACAAAAUUUUAACAAACAAACCAUUUUACCUCCUUAGUAUGGGCGACAGAAAAGGAAAGAAGGAGCAAUAGAGAAAGUACCGCAAGGGAACGCUGAAAGAGAAAUGAAACAAACCAGUAAAGUUUAAAAAAGCAGAGAUUAAAUCUCGUACCUUUUGCAUCAUGAUUUAGCUAGAAAAUUUCAAGCAAAGAGCACUUUAGUUUGCCUCCCCGAAACUAAGUGAGCUACUCCAAGUCAGCCUGUCAAAAGGGCCAACCCGUCUCUGUUGCAAAAGGGUGGGAAGAACUUAGAGUAGAGGUGACAGACCUACCGAACUUAGUUAUAGCUGGUUGCUUGGGAAUUGAAUAGGAGUUCAGCCUUUCAAUUUCUUCCUUCUCAAUUGCCUCAGCUAGUCCUGAUUAAAAGAAACUGAAAGAGUUAAUUAAAGGGGGUACAGCCCCUUUAAAUCAAGAUACAACUUUUUAAGAUGGGUAAAGAUCAUAUUUUUUAAGGCAUAAUGUUUUAGUGGGCCUAAAAGCAGCCAUCUAAAGAAAGCGUUAAAGCUCAGACAUUUUAUCUCAGCCCUUUAAUACCGAUAAUUUAUCUCACCCCUCUAAAUGUACCAAGCCGCCCCAUGCAUGCAUGGGGGUGAUAAUGCUAAUAUGAGUAAUAAGAAAAACGAUUUUCUCCUUGCACAUGUGUAAAUCGGAGCGGACACCCCACCGAAAAUUACCCGGUCCCAAACCAAGAGGGCAGUGAAAAAAUAAAUUAAACAACAAGAAAACCUCUCAAACACUUACCGUUAACCCUACACAGGUGUGCUUUUUAAGGAAAGACUAAAAGAAAAAGAAGGAACUCGGCAAACACAAGCCUCGCCUGUUUACCAAAAACAUCGCCUCUUGCAAACAAUGAAUAAGAGGUCUCGCCUGCCCUGUGACAAAAGUUUAACGGCCGCGGUAUUCUGACCGUGCAAAGGUAGCGUAAUCACUUGUCUUUUAAAUGAAGACCUGUAUGAAUGGCAUAACGAGGGCUUAACUGUCUCCUUUUUCAAGUCAAUGAAAUUGAUCUCUCCGUGCAGAAGCGGGGAUAACAACAUAAGACGAGAAGACCCUAUGGAGCUUUAGACACUAAAGCAGAUCUUGUUAAACAUCCCUGUAUAAAGGAAAAAACCAAAAGAAACCUGCCCUACUGUCUUUGGUUGGGGCGACCGUGGGGAAAUAAAAAUCCCCCAUGUGGACUGAGAAUACUAUUCUUAAAAAUAAGAGCCACAGCUCUAAUUAACAGAAAUUCUGACCUUUAGAUCCGGCAAUGCCGAUCAACGGACCGAGUUACCCUAGGGAUAACAGCGCAAUCCUCUUUUAGAGCCCAUAUCGACAAGAGGGUUUACGACCUCGAUGUUGGAUCAGGACAUCCUAAUGGUGCAGCCGCUAUUAAGGGUUCGUUUGUUCAACGAUUAAAGUCCU